rnacentral:rRNA from 1 species
CUUGGAUAUCUAUAAGAGGUCCAGCCUGCCCAGUGACUCUGUUCAACGGCCGCGGUAUCCUAACCGUGCGAAGGUAGCGUAAUCACUUGUUCUUUAAAUGAGGACUAGUAUGAAUGGCACCACGAGGGUUAUACUGUCUCCUUUUUCUAAUCAGUGAAACUAAUCUCCCCGUGAAGAAGCGGGGAUUAAAAUAUAAGACGAGAAGACCCUAUGGAGCUUUAAACUUAAUAACAAGUACUACCCUUUAUUUAACUUUCAGAACAUAUACCUUUAUUCUAGUGUUAUGAUUAUUAGUUUUAGGUUGGGGUGACCGCGGAGCAAAAAUCAACCUCCACAUUGAACGGAACUCAUUCCUGAGCAAAAAGCCACGACUUUAAGCACCAACAAAUUGACAUCAAUUGACCCAAUAUUUUGAUCAACGAAC